GUAACUUAGACAACGUGGCUUUUACUGUCUAAACUAAUGGUCUUUUAUAUAACAAAACAUUAUUUCUGAUGUUUAGUCAUUGUGGUAAAGCAGCUGAUAUUCACUCGCAGACCUAAACUGAUGAAGAUCAAUGACAGAAUCUUUACCAACACCACCAAAAAGAAUUAAAACCAGGAGACAGAGUAUAGAAGAUCCUCCAUCAAUGUCAUCCUACAGUGAUCCAUUCACUGAAAAGCUUCAGUGUUCAAUCUGUCUGGAUGUGUUCAAUGAUCCAGUCAGCACUUCAUGUGGACAUAACUUCUGCAAGAUCUGCCUGAAUAAACACUGGGACAACAGUCAAGACAUCAGCUGUCCAAACUGUAAAGAAACAUUCGAGAAGAGACCUGAACUUAAGAUAAAUACAACACUCAGAGAUCUUGUAGGUCACUUUAAGAGAAAAUUUUGUCUGGUGUGUCAGAGCUCUUACUGUAAAACUCACCUGGAGUCUCAUAUAAGAGUUACAGAAACACAAACAUUGAAUGAUCCUGUGAAUA